UGGCGGCAGGCCUAACACAUGCAAGUCGAGCGGUAACAUUUCUAGCUUGCUAGAAGAUGACGAGCGGCGACGGGUGAGUAACGCGUAGAAAUCUACCUAGUAGUGGGGGAUAGCCCAGAGAAAUUUGGAUUAAUACCGCAUACGCCCUACGGGGGAAAGCGGGGGAUCUUCGGACCUCGUGCUAUUAGAUGAGUCUGCGUCGGAUUAGCUUGUUGGUGAGGUAAUGGCUCACCAAGGCGACGAUCCGUAGCUGGUCUGAGAGGAUGACCAGCCACACUGGAACUGAGACACGGUCCAGACUCCUACGGGAGGCAGCAGUGGGGAAUAUUGCACAAUGGGCGCAAGCCUGAUGCAGCCAUGCCGCGUGUGUGAAGAAGGCCUUAGGGUUGUAAAGCACUUUCAGCAGUGAGGAAAGGGGUGUCGUUAAUAGCGCCAUCCUGUGACGUUAACUGCAGAAGAAGGACCGGCUAACUCCGCG
rnacentral:rRNA from 1 species